rnacentral:rRNA from 1 species
AACGAACGCUGGCGGCAUGCCUAACACAUGCAAGUCGAACGAGACCUUCGGGUCUAGUGGCGCACGGGUGCGUAACGCGUGGGAACCUGCCCUUAGGUUCGGAAUAACUCCCCGAAAGGGGUGCUAAUACCGGAUAAUGUCUUCGGACCAAAGAUUUAUCGCCUUUGGAUGGGCCCGCGUUGGAUUAGCUAGUUGGUAGGGUAAAAGCCUACCAAGGCGACGAUCCAUAGCUGGUCUGAGAGGAUGAUCAGCCACACUGGGACUGAGACACGGCCGAGACUCCUACGGGAGGCAGCAGUGGGGAAUGUAGGACAGUGGGCGGAAGCCUGAUCCAGCAAUGCCGCGUGAGUGAUGAAAGCCUUAGGGUUGUAAAGCUCUUUUACCCGUGAUGAUAAUGACAGUACCGGGAGAAUAAGCUCCGGCUAACUCCGUG